rnacentral:rRNA from 1 species
AGUGAACGCUGGCGGUAGGCCUAACACAUGCAAGUCGAACGGCAGCACAGUAAGAGCUUGCUCUUACGGGUGGCGAGUGGCGGACGGGUGAGGAAUACAUCGGAAUCUACUUUUUCGUGGGGGAUAACGUAGGGAAACUUACGCUAAUACCGCAUACGACCUACGGGUGAAAGCAGGGGAUCUUCGGACCUUGCGCGAUUGAAUGAGCCGAUGUCGGAUUAGCUAGUUGGCGGGGUAAAGGCCCACCAAGGCGACGAUCCGUAGCUGGUCUGAGAGGAUGAUUCACCAAACUGGGAACUGGGACACGUCCCAGAUCCUAACGGGAGCCAGCAGUGGGGAAUUUUGGACAAGGGGGGCAAGCCUGACCCAGCCAUCCCGGGGGGUUGAAGAAGGCCUUCGGUUUGUAAAGCCCUUUUGUUGGGAAAGAAAAGCAGCAGUUAAUACCCCGCUGUUCUGACGGUACCCAAAGAAUAAGCACCGGCUAACUUCGUG